CCUACGGGUGGCAGCAGUGGGGAAUAUUGGACAAUGGGGGGAACCCUGAUCCAGCGACGCCGCGUGAGUGAAGAAGUAUUUCGGUAUGUAAAGCUCUAUCAGCAGGGAAGAAAGAAAUGACGGUACCUGACUAAGAAGCCCCGGCUAACUACGUGCCAGCAGCCGCGGUAAUACGUAGGGGGCAAGCGUUAUCCGGAUUUACUGGGUGUAAAGGGAGCGUAGACGGCGAUGCAAGUCUGAAGUGAAAGGCGGGGGGCCAACCCCCGGACUGCUUGGGAAACUGUAUGGCUGGAGUGCAGGAGAGGUAAGUGGAAUUCCUAGUGUAGCGGUGAAAUGCGUAGAGAUUAGGAGGAACACCAGUGGCGAAGGCGGCUUACUGGACUGUAACUGACGUUGAGGCUCGAAAGCGUGGGGAGCAAACAGGAUUAGAUACCCUAGUAGUC
rnacentral:rRNA from 1 species